CCUACGGGUGGCUGCAGUGAGGAAUAUUGGUCAAUGGACGAGAGUCUGAACCAGCCAAGUAGCGUGAAGGAUGACUGCCCUAUGGGUUGUCAACUUCUUUUAUAAAGGAAUAAAACGAGGCACGUGUGCCUUUUUGCAUGUACUUUAUGAAUAAGGAUCGGCGAACUCCGUGCCAGCCGACCCGGUAAUACGGAGGAUCCGAGCGUUAUCCGGAUUUAUUGGGGUUAACGGGUGCGUAGGCGGGCAUUUAAGCCGGCGGUAAAAUGUCGGGGCUCAACCCCGGCCUGCCGUCGGAACUGGGUGCCUUGAGUGGGCGAGAAGUAUGCGGAAUGCGUGGUGUAGCGGUGAAAUGCAGAGAUAUCACGCAGAACCCCGAUUGCGAAGGCGGCAUACCGGCGCCCUACUGACGCUGAGGCACGAAAGUGCGGGUAUCGAACAGGAUUAGAUACCCUUGUAGUC
rnacentral:rRNA from 1 species